AAAUCACCAGAGGAAAUGUCACCAGCAGCAAGCAUACUGGCUAAAACAACCAAACAGAGGCCACGGUCAUGGGGACUGAGAGAGGAGAUUUCACCUUUGAGAACAGGAAGGCAUCACCCUUUGUUGGACAAUGCCCAACUUGGCCUGCCUCACUUGGUCCUGCCCUCUUCCUCUCUAGCCCUAAUCAACAAUGCUGAUUCUCAGGGAUAGCAUGUGCCACACAGCAAAACUUACCAAAAGGAAAUUAAAAAAAAAAAGAAAAGAAAAGAAAAAGAAAAUGAGGGCUGCAGUGCUGGCCCCACAGUGAAAUCCUGGAGCUGGAUCUUCUGUGGCCCAUUAUGAUUCCAAUCUAGUCCCAACUGGUGGCCAAAGACAUGUGUGAAUACUCCUAAAUCCUGAAGGAUGGAAAAAUAGAGGAGCAGGGCAAGAGGCCACCUGUGUAGCACCUGGAAGCUCCUGAGGCAGUGUGUGCUCCAUCCCACAGAACAGAGACACACAUUCUGGUACGGGCAGAUCCAAGUUUAUUUCUUAUCGCAAGCUGAAAUAAACAAUGCUCAA